CUUUGAGAGUGUUACACUUGGACAUGCAGCCAAGGUCCUCAGUCUCUUCCAGCCUAGUGGAGAUGAGGGGGAACUGGCUGCCCUCACAUAUGGGCGAGACUCAAAACUCGUGACAGUGACUUUUAGUUCAGCCUUGCAGAUAAUCACAUGCAGACCGAUCUACUGUUUAUAACACACCUGCUUCUGCCACAGAAAGUAGUACAUCAUUGAGAAUAAAUAGAUGGAUAGGGAAAUAAUGUCUACAAACAUAUACAGAAAGUCAGCCUUCCCAUUUUGGAUUCAUUGUCAAGUAACUGGCUAAAGGCUGGACCUGGCUGUUCUGAGAAAAAGGGGAGAAGAUACACAGAUACAUGGAGGAAAGAAGGCUGUGGAGCCAUCCAGUCAGACUGGAGGGAUGCAGCUGCAAGCCCAGGGACGCCAAGGAUUGCCAGCAAUCCCCAGAAACCAGGACAGAGGCAGGGCACAGACUCCCCCUUGGAGCCUCCAGAAGGGACCAACCCUGCUGACACUCUGAUUUCAGAAUUCUGGCCUCCUGAACUGGAAGAGAAUAAAUUUCUGUUGUUUAAGUCGCCCCGUUUAUGGUAAUUUGCUAUGGCAGCCUGAGGAAAUGAACACAACAGGGAAAAGGACUGAGGGUCUCCCUGUAAUGUUGGCAUUUUUUUAGGUGACAAUAGAGAAGAGGGCAGAGUUUCAUACCAACGUAUGAAUUACUAAUAUCGACUCUUUAUGCUCCACUGAGAAAGCAAUUUUGGAAUAAGUGUAAUCAAAAUGCAAACAAGUAAGCCUGCCUGUUCUGUUUACACUUAUGUACGCUUUUGACAAAAGGAAACAUAUAUUUAUUUGGCACCCAAUACGUGCUAGGCAAUGCGAUAGGUGCUUUCAUAUCUAACAUUUCACUUAAUUUUCACAAUAAUUCCGACCCUGUGAGGGAGGAAUUACUAUGCCCAUUUUGCUGUUCAGGAAACUGAGGCUCAGAGAGCAUGAACAACUGACUACCAGGCACAGAGCUAUGGGGGCAAAAGUGGCUGCGCAGAGUGUAAGUGCAGGAGUCCCAGGGGUGGAGCUGAAACAGCCAACCUUUCUGUCGGCCUGAGCCCUCUACCUUGGAGUCCUUCACGUCUUCAUGCGUCUCCCUGGGCUCGGCAAGGCUGUGCCGGUGAAGGAUGCUAAGAUCAUUGCCACUCUGGAGGAGCAAGACAUCUGACCCACUGUCACAUGGCAGGGGCCCUGGCAGAGGGGCAUGGUAGCCUUUCUCAGGGAGAGGGAUGUGGCAAGGCAGCCCCUGGUGGUGAACCUUGCAGGGGUGGUGCCCGGAAAUGACCCAUUUACCUGUGCCUCUCUUCACAGCAUGCCACGCCCUCCCACACAUACUUUCUAACGUGACCCUGAUACUUCCCUGGAUGAUGUGAACAGCCCCACUGAACAAAUAGCCGAGGACAGAGCAGAUCAGAGAGGAUGAAGGCCUUGUCCCUGGUUGCACAGCUAAGAGCCUCAUGACAAGGCCAGGCACAGUGGCUCACACCUGUAAUCCCAAAACUUUGGGAGGCUGAGGCGGGAGGAUCACUUGAGGUCAGGAGUUCGAGACCAGCCUGGCCAAAAUGGUGAAACCCCGUCUCUACUGAAAAUACAAAAAUUCACCAGAUGUGGUGGCACAUGCCUGUAAUCCCAGCUACUCAGGAGGCUGAGACAGGAGAAUCACUUGAACCGGGGAGGCAGAGGUUGAAGUGAGCCGAGAUUGAGCCACUGCACUCCAGCUUCCAGCCUGGGCAACAAGAGCGAAACUCCGUCUCACAAAAAAAAAACAACA
rnacentral:lncRNA from 1 species